CCUACGGGAGGCAGCAGUGGGGAAUUUUGGACAAUGGGCGAAAGCCUGAUCCAGCAAUGCCGCGUGAGUGAAGAAGGCCUUCGGGUUGUAAAGCUCUUUUGUCAGGGAAGAAACGGUGAGGGCUAAUAUCCCUUGCUAAUGACGGUACCUGAAGAAUAAGCACCGGCUAACUACGUGCCAGCAGCCGCGGUAAUACGUAGGGUGCAAGCGUUAAUCGGAAUUACUGGGCGUAAAGCGUGCGCAGGCGGUUUUGUAAGUCUGUCGUGAAAUCCCCGGGCUCAACCUGGGAAUUGCGAUGGAGACUGCAAGGCUAGAAUCUGGCAGAGGGGGGUAGAAUUCCACGUGUAGCAGUGAAAUGCGUAGAGAUGUGGAGGAACACCGAUGGCGAAGGCAGCCCCCUGGGUCAAGAUUGACGCUCAUGCACGAAAGCGUGGGGAGCAAACAGGAUUAGAUACCCUGGUAGUCCACGCCCUAAACGAUGUCUACUAGUUGUCGGGUUUUAAUUAACUUGGUAACGCAGCUAACGCGUGAAGUAGACCGCCUGGGGAUACGGUCGCAAGNUUAAAACNCAAAUGAAAUUGACGGNUGAGAGNGCGACGACGACGACGAGGAGGAGG
rnacentral:rRNA from 1 species